rnacentral:rRNA from 1 species
AUUGAACGCUGGCGGCAUGCCUUACACAUGCAAGUCGAACGGUAACAGGUUAAGCUGACGAGUGGCGAACGGGUGAGUAAUACAUCGGAACGUGCCCAGUAGUGGGGGAUAGCCCGGCGAAAGCCGGAUUAAUACCGCAUACGACCUAAGGGUGAAAGGGGGGGAUCGCAAGACCUCCCGCAAUUGGAGCGGCCGAUGUCAGAUUAGCUAGUUGGUGGGGUAAAAGCUCACCAAGGCGACGAUCUGUAGCUGGUCUGAGAGGACGACCAGCCACACUGGGACUGAGACACGGCCCAGACUCCUACGGGAGGCAGCAGUGGGGAAUUUUGGACAAUGGGCGCAAGCCUGAUCCAGCCAUGCCGCGUGCGGGAAGAAGGCCUUCGGGUUGUAAACCGCUUUUGUCAGGGAAGAAAUCCUUUGGGUUAAUACCUCGGGGGGAUGACGGUACCUGAAGAAUAAGCACCGGCUAACUACGUG